rnacentral:rRNA from 1 species
UACGUAGGGGGCCAGCGUUGUCCGGAUUUAUUGGGCGUAAAGAGCGUGUAGGCGGCCAGGUAGGUCUGGUGUGAAAACUCGAGGCUCAACCUCGAGAUGUCAUCGGAAACCAUCUGGCUAGAGUCCGGAAGAGGAGAGUGGAAUUCCUGGUGUAGCGGUGAAAUGCGCAGAUAUCGAGAAGAACACCGGUGGCGAAGGCGGCCAACUGGACGGUGACUGACACUGAGACGCGAAAGCGUGGGGAGCAAACAGG